AGAGGACUGAAAAUCCUCGUGUCACCAGUUCAAAA
rnacentral:tRNA from 2 species